UACGAAGGGGCUAGCGUUGCUCGGAAUCACUGGGCGUAAAGCGUGCGCAGGCGGCGCGUUAAGACAGGUGUGAAAGCCCCGAGCUUAACUUGGGAAUUGCGCUUGUGACUGGCGUGCUGGAGUGUGGCAGAGGGAGGUGGAAUUCCACGUGUAGCAGUGAAAUGCGUAGAGAUGUGGAGGAACACCGAUGGCGAAGGCAGCCUCCUGGGCCAGCACUGACGCUCAUGCACGAAAGCGUGGGGAGCAAACAGG
rnacentral:rRNA from 1 species